GACGAACGCUGGCGGCGUGCUUAACACAUGCAAGUCGAACGAUGAUGCCCAGCUUGCUGGGUGGAUUAGUGGCGAACGGGUGAGUAACACGUGAGUAACCUGCCCCUGACUCUGGGAUAAGCGUUGGAAACGACGUCUAAUACUGGAUAUGAUCACUGGCCGCAUGGUCUGGUGGUGGAAAGAUUUUUUGGUUGGGGAUGGACUCGCGGCCUAUCAGCUUGUUGGUGAGGUAAUGGCUCACCAAGGCGACGACGGGUAGCCGGCCUGAGAGGGUGACCGGCCACACUGGGACUGAGACACGGCCCAGACUCCUACGGGAGGCAGCAGUGGGGAAUAUUGCACAAUGGGCGAAAGCCUGAUGCAGCAACGCCGCGUGAGGGAUGACGGCCUUCGGGUUGUAAACCUCUUUUAGUAGGGAAGAAGCGAAAGUGACGGUACCUGCAGAAAAAGCACCGGCUAACUACGUGCCAGCAGCCGCGGUAAUACGUAGGGUGCAAGCGUUGUCCGGAAUUAUUGGGCGUAAAGAGCUCGUAGGCGGUUUGUCGCGUCUGCUGUGAAAUCCCGAGGCUCAACCUCGGGCUUGCAGUGGGUACGGGCAGACUAGAGUGCGGUAGGGGAGAUUGGAAUUCCUGGUGUAGCGGUGGAAUGCGCAGAUAUCAGGAGGAACACCGAUGGCGAAGGCAGAUCUCUGGGCCGUAACUGACGCUGAGGAGCGAAAGCAUGGGGAGCGAACAGGAUUAGAUACCCUGGUAGUCCAUGCCGUAAACGUUGGGCGCUAGAUGUAGGGACCUUUCCACGGUUUCUGUGUCGUAGCUAACGCAUUAAGCGCCCCGCCUGGGGAGUACGGCCGCAAGGCUAAAACUCAAAGGAAUUGACGGGGGCCCGCACAAGCGGCGGAGCAUGCGGAUUAAUUCGAUGCAACGCGAAGAACCUUACCAAGGCUUGACAUACACCGGAAACGGCCAGAGAUGGUCGCCCCCUUGUGGUCGGUGUACAGGUGGUGCAUGGUUGUCGUCAGCUCGUGUCGUGAGAUGUUGGGUUAAGUCCCGCAACGAGCGCAACCCUCGUUCUAUGUUGCCAGCGGGUUAUGCCGGGGACUCAUAGGAGACUGCCGGGGUCAACUCGGAGGAAGGUGGGGAUGACGUCAAAUCAUCAUGCCCCUUAUGUCUUGGGCUUCACGCAUGCUACAAUGGCCGGUACAAAGGGCUGCGAUACCGUAAGGUGGAGCGAAUCCCAAAAAGCCGGUCUCAGUUCGGAUUGAGGUCUGCAACUCGACCUCAUGAAGUCGGGGUCGCUAGUAAUCGCAGAUCAGCAACGCUGCGGUGAAUACGUUCCCGGGCCU
rnacentral:rRNA from 1 species